rnacentral:tRNA from 1 species
UCCUCUGAAGUGCUGGCGGCGGCACGCCCGACUGUUACGCGGGAGGACCAGGUUCGAAUCCUGGCAGGGGAACUA